rnacentral:lncRNA from 1 species
CGUGUCCUGCAAGGAAAAGAGAGGCAGUUUCAACUUCUUGUCCAUCUCUUCUUCCCUUUCAGAAAACCCAGUCCAGGGACUCCUCAGAGACUGAAUGAUCUGCUUCCAACUGAUAAAGAAGGCCCUCUUUGGGCUUUUAUUCUUAAUACUAACUGUUUCCUCAGGUCUUUCCAGAAUGGAAAGUCAAAUAGACCUGGCCCGAUGUAUCUAUUCUUCGAUUUAAGCACUUUGGUCGGUGCUGACUCCUUGGUAUUCAAAGCCUGUGUACUGCCAUGACUUCUAAGGCUUGGUAUAUCCUAUACCAGUCAUGUUCUCCUCACCUAGUACCAGGAAGUUGGUAGUUACUAAUUCUUUUUUGUCUGAAUAUUGUAAGAAAAAGCA